AUAUAAGUAGGCGGUGGAAAAUGAACCAAAUGGGAUUCCUUAAGUAAUUGCGAAUGAACAAGGAACUGCUCAGCUUGAAAAUUGGGGCCUUCGGCCUUGAAUUGUAAUUUUGAAAUGUAUUGCCAAUGGAGGCGCAGGUGCAAGCCUAUUGAAAGAAAGCGUCAAUGAGGGUGAGAUUCCUUUUUGUCAUUUGCAGUCCUCCGUGCACGGUAUAUAUUUGACGAGUCACACUCCUCGGCAUUGGAAUGCAAAGUGGGUGGUAAAUUCCAUGUAAAGGAAAAUAUAUUAUUGAGACUGAUAGCAAACAAGUACCAUGAGGGAAAUAUGAAAAGGACUUUGAAAAGAGAAUUAAAAGAGUCUGCAUUUGCUGAACAGAAAGCAAACAGAAUUGAUCUACUUGGUGAGAUUGUUGCGUCCACUUGUGGGCGCAAUGGUUCUUACCUUGAAUGUCAGCGUCUAUUUCUGCAAAUCAUUACCCUUGCACAUGAAUGGUAAUUUGCCUGUGGGUAUUGGAAUGCAUGUGUUUGCAAUGAUUUGUGAUUUGAUACGUGUGUCUGGUGUUCUUGUGUGUGCCUUCUUGCCAAAAGGGGAGGGCUCUCCUCCCUGGGCACUGCAAG
rnacentral:rRNA from 1 species